GAGUUUGAUCCUGGCUCAGGAUGAACGCUGGCGGCGUGCUUAACACAUGCAAGUCGAACGAAGCAUUUAUGUGGAAGUUUUCGGAUGGAAACAUAAAUGACUUAGUGGCGGACGGGUGAGUAACGCGUGGGUAACCUGCCUUAUACAGGGGGAUAACAGUCAGAAAUGGCUGCUAAUACCGCAUAACCCUUUAGUGCCGCAUGGUACAGAAGGAAAAGAUUUAUCGGUAUAAGAUGGACCCGCGUCUGAUUAGCUAGUUGGUGGGGUAACGGCCUACCAAGGCGACGAUCAGUAGCCGACUUGAGAGAGUGAUCGGCCACAUUGGGACUGAGACACGGCCCAAACUCCUACGGGAGGCAGCAGUGGGGAAUAUUGCACAAUGGGGGAAACCCUGAUGCAGCAACGCCGCGUGAAGGAUGAAGGGUUUCGGCUCGUAAACUUCUAUCAACAGGGACGAAAAAAAUGACGGUACCUGAAUAAGAAGCCCCGGCUAACUACGUGCCAGCAGCCGCGGUAAUACGUAGGGGGCAAGCGUUAUCCGGAAUUACUGGGUGUAAAGGGAGAGUAGGCGGCAUGGUAAGUUAGAUGUGAAAGCCCGGGGCUUAACCUCGGGAUUGCAUUUAAAACUAUCAAGCUAGAGUACAGGAGAGGUAAGUGGAAUUCCUAGUGUAGCGGUGAAAUGCGUAGAUAUUAGGAAGAACACCAGUGGCGAAGGCGACUUACUGGACUGAAACUGACGCUGAGGCUCGAAAGCGUGGGGAGCGAACAGGAUUAGAUACCCUGGUAGUCCACGCCGUAAACGAUGAGUGCUAGGUGUUGGGGGGGAACCCUCGGUGCCGCAGCUAACGCAAUAAGCACUCCACCUGGGGAGUACGAUCGCAAGAUUGAAACUCAAAGGAAUUGACGGGGGCCCGCACAAGCGGUGGAGCAUGUGGUUUAAUUCGAAGCAACGCGAAGAACCUUACCAAGGCUUGACAUCCCUCUGACCGCACUAGAGAUAGUGCUUCUCUUCGGAGCAGGGGUGACAGGUGGUGCAUGGUUGUCGUCAGCUCGUGUCGUGAGAUGUUGGGUUAAGUCCCGCAACGAGCGCAACCCCUAUUCUUAGUAGCCAUCAUUCAGUUGGGCACUCUAAGGAGACUGCCGUGGAUAACACGGAGGAAGGUGGGGAUGACGUCAAAUCAUCAUGCCCCUUAUGUCUUGGGCUACACACGUGCUACAAUGGCUGGUAACAAAGUGAAGCAAAACGGCGACGUCAAGCAAAUCACAAAAACCCAGUCCCAGUUCGGAUUGUAGUCUGCAACUCGACUACAUGAAGCUGGAAUCGCUAGUAAUCGCGAAUCAGAAUGUCGCGGUGAAUACGUUCCCGGGCCUUGUACACACCGCCCGUCACACCAUGGGAGUUGGAAGCACCCGAAGUCGGUGACCUAACCGUAAGGAAGGAACCGCCGAAGGUGAUAUCAGCGACUGGGGUGAAGUCGUAACAAGGUAACCG
rnacentral:rRNA from 1 species